CAUGGACUCCUCUAGGUUGAAAAAUUGCUGCUGCUGCCAGAAUCCAUGUGAGGACUGGAGUUAAUUUUGCUACUGCCUCAUUGGAGUUUGAUCAUCUAUUGAAUGAGGCCCAAACAAGAGGUACACAGAAAAAGCCCCAGGAAAUGUGGAAUUUCAUUCUCGGUUGACCAGCAUGGCGAACCCAGCAGCACACCUGACCAUGAAAGCCCAGGCUUGCAAACAUGCUCCAGCAUGGAGCAUGCAGGAAAUUAUGGAUCCGAUUGCUGAGUGGGGUGAGGAAUUUGUGGAGGCAGAUCUCCAAAGCAGCAGAAGAAACACUGAUAUCUAACCAAAAUUGCACAGGACAUGGUGGAAAAUGGAUACAGCAGGGACACCCACCAGUGCCGCAUGAAGAUAAAGGAGCUCAGGCAAGUGUACCAAAAAACGAAGGAGGCAAAUGGUCGGUCCAGGUCAGAGCCUCAAACAUGUCACUUUUAUGAGCUGCUGCAUGGGAUUCUAGGGGGGACCCUACCAGUAUCCUAACACUGUCCAUAGUUACCUCCCAAGUGACUCUUGUGGCAACCACAAGCAACAACGAGGAGAUUGUACAUGAGGAGGAGGUGAAUGCUUAGCAGGCAAACAGAGGUUCCUUUUCUAACUUUGGAGCCAAUCCCAUUCUACAAUUUAUUGCUGUAGGACCCUGAUAUUGGAGAGGGGCGCACUUCUGUUGAAUUCUGUUGAAUGGGUAAAUGUAAUUUGGUUUUAUCAGCUUGAUCUUCCCUGAGGUGUACAGUGGCAGGCACUCUGCCUACACAGAGUGUCUGAAGAUGGAGCAGGAAUCCUUUCUACAGAUCUCUAUGAAGUUCUUAUAUCGGAAUUCCUUGAUCCUUCUCACAAGGAUCCUUCUCACUCCAAGCCAGUAGUAAGUGGUCUGGUGUCAUUGCAGCAUAAGGUCUAGGUUUCUGGGAACAUCCAGUCAGCCCCUGAUUUCUAUUAUGCUCUCUGAUUCAGAGAAGACCGAUAUUGCUCACAGCAACCUGGAUGAAAUAGGAGAAGGUCUGUAAUUGAUAGCACUGAGGCAACCCACCUCCAUUUGCUCCUCUCCAACAAAUCAUGACCCCUGGUUUGCUGCCCUGUUUGCAAAGGGCUUGAAGGAAUUAUCCUGAGAACAGGUUCCCUCCUC